GCUCACUUCGGCAGAAUAUAUACUAAAAUUGGAACGGUCCAGAGAAGAUUAGUGUGGUCCCUGAGAAAGGAUGAUGCACAAAUCUGUGAAGUAUUCCAUAUUUUU